rnacentral:rRNA from 1 species
GAUGAACGCUGGCGGCGUGCCUAAUACAUGCCUGUCGAGCGAAGCGGGGACGGGUGAGUAACACGUGGAUAACCUCCUAUAAGACUGGGAUAACUUCGGGAAACCGGAGCUAAAACGGCUCCUUAUAGCUGACUCCGCGCUGGAUUAGCUAGUUGGUAAGGGAACGGCUUACCAAGGCAACGAUGCCUAGCCGACCUGAGAGGGUGAUCGGCCACACUGGAACUGAGACACGGUCCAGACUCCUACGGGAGGCAGCAGUAGGGAAUCUUCCGCAAGGGGCGAAAGCCUGACGGAGCAACGCCGCGUGAGUGAUGAAGGUCUUCGGAUCGUAAAACUCUGUUAUGAGGGAAGCGUUACCUAAUCAGAAAGCCACGGCUAACUACGUGCCAGCAGCCGCGGUAAUUC